rnacentral:lncRNA from 1 species
UGCAUUGCUGAUAGGUGUGUCAAUGCCUGUGUAGGGACCACACUUUGGAUGGCAAGGCUCUAUCCUUCCCUAAUCCUCAUAGCUCAGUGCAUGUGGCCAAGGCCAUGGAUGGGAGACCUGGGAAGCAGGUGGAAGUGAACACAGGAAGACAUCUGAGACACAGGUCUGGAGGCUUGCUGAAGGGUGUUCUCACCAGGUACUGUCCUGAAAUCUGUAGUCCUCCCCAACACACACACACAUGCACACACACCUACACACCCACACCUCCUUCUUUUUUUUUUUUAAUUUUUAUUUAUUUAUGAUAGUCACACACAGAGAGAGAGAGAGGCAGAGACACAGGCAGAGGGAGAAGCAGGCUCCAUGCACCGGGAGCCCGACGUGGGAUUCGAUCCCGGGUCUCCAGGAUCGCGCCCUGGGCCAAAGGCAGGCGCCAAACCGCUGCGCCACCCAGGGAUCCCCCCACACCUCCUUCUGAAUCCAGUCUUGAACACCCAUGAAGGAGAACCAUCCCAAUGGGAGGAUGGAAUCCCAGCAGACACCUUUCAUUCUUUCCUGGAGACACCCCCAGCAAGUGAGAAGAUGACGUUAUUAUUUCUUAAUAUAUGGAUUUUUUUUCUAAUUACAAAGAAACCACACAAAUGACCCGUAGAAAACUUGGAAAACAGGAACACACAAAGAUGGCUGUAAAAAGCCCCCAUAAUCCAAGUUAACCGCGGUUAACAUAUUGGUGUAUUUCCUUCUAUCCUUUUUUUCUUUAAGUAGUAGCCCAAGGCCAUGUGAACGAUCUGGGCUUAAGAUCUAUCUUUUGACUUUAAUUAUGUGUAGUUGGACUCUCUAAGAC